CAUAUUCCGUAUUACUAUCAAAUACUUUUAAGUUAAGAAUACAAACAAAAUUCUCUAAAAUAGUUGUCGUACCUAUAUUCUUUAAAUAAAGGAAUCCUUAAACCUUAUAAAAAUGCAAAAUUUUAACUGUAGCUUAUGAAUAGUUCCUGCUGGUGUUAUUACAGAGGUGCCCUUGAAUUCAAGGAACUGACAGCUGAUUCCAAUGACAGCUGUUGUUGUUGCUUUUCCUUACCAGAGUUGGUUCUGACUUGCUUUUGUGUUGAUUUAGCCUUUGCUUUGGUUUGUAUCGCUCUUGUUUUGGGAGUUUGCGGUUGGGAUGCUCAGGUGCGGGAGUAGGCUGCUUUCGUCCGGCUGCCUGUGCAGGAAUGGCUGGCUUGCUGAUUGCAUUGCUUGUGGGUCUGCUGUUGCAGAGUUGCUUGUUCUGUUGGGGUUAGGAGAUCUGUGAAGCACUUUUUAAGGACACUGCUGAGAAAGAAGGUUCAGAGAGCAAAGAAUAAUCCAGAAGCAACAAGGCAAUUCCCGAAUGAAGGCUACCUAGAAUAUAUAUAUGCAGUUAUCAUCUUUUGCUAUUAAGGUAUUAGUGGGAAUCAGGAACUAUGAUGUGAAAGUUUAUUAAAUUUGAAGUAGCUUGUGCAUGUUUAAAAGGAACAUUUUGGACAUCUUGUGUUCCCUAUAAACAUCAACUAUGUAUAUAGUACUAAGGAUAUGUAGGUACUACUGAUGUUUAGUAGCAGCACUGUCUUAGACACUUCCUCUUAGCAGAACUGUAGUAUUUUGCUUGUACAUAGUAAUGCUAGCAGUCAGAAAUUGAAAGAACCAUCAGGUCACUAUGAUGUAUCUAUUUGCAUCCUUAAAUCAGGAUGCCUAUAUAUAUAAUAUGAAUUAAGUUGUUAUAA